GAUGAACGCUGGCGGCGUGCCUAAUACAUGCAAGUCGAGCGAACAGAUGAGGAGCUUGCUCCUCUGACGUUAGCGGCGGACGGGUGAGUAACACGUGGAUAACCUACCUAUAAGACUGGGAUAACUUCGGGAAACCGGAGCUAAUACCGGAUAAUAUAUUGAACCGCAUGGUUCAAUAGUGAAAGACGGUUUUGCUGUCACUUAUAGAUGGAUCCGCGCCGCAUUAGCUAGUUGGUAAGGUAACGGCUUACCAAGGCAACGAUGCGUAGCCGACCUGAGAGGGUGAUCGGCCACACUGGAACUGAGACACGGUCCAGACUCCUACGGGAGGCCGCAGUAGGGAAUCUUCCGCAAUGGGCGAAAGCCUGACGGAGCACAGCCGCGUGAGUGAUGAAGGUCUUCGGAUCGUAAAGCUCUGUUAUUAGGGAAGAACAAAUGUGUAAGUAACUAUGCACGUCUUGACGGUACCUAAUCAGAAAGCCACGGCUAACUACGUG
rnacentral:rRNA from 1 species